CCUACGGGAGGCAGCAGUGGGGAAUUUUGCGCAAUGGGCGAAAGCCUGACGCAGCAACGCCGCGUGCGGGAUGAAGGCCCUCGGGUUGUAAACCGCUUUCAGCAGGGACGAACAUGACGGUACCUGCAGAAGAAGCCCCGGCUAACUACGUGCCAGCAGCCGCGGUAAUACGUAGGGGGCAAGCGUUAUCCGGAUUCAUUGGGCGUAAAGCGCGCGUAGGCGGCUUGUUAAGUCAGAUGUGAAAACCGGGGGCUCAACCCGCGGCCUGCAUCUGAAACUGGCAGGCUUGAGUCUGGUAGAGGAAAGUGGAAUUCCUGGUGUAGCGGUGAAAUGCGCAGAUAUCAGGAGGAACACCAGUGGCGAAGGCGGCUUUCUGGGCCACGACUGACGCUGAGGCGCGAAAGCUAGGGGAGCGAACAGGAUUAGAUACCCUGGUAGUC
rnacentral:rRNA from 1 species